GGCAGCGUGGCAUUGCUGGGUGCUCAGGCUGUGCGUGCACGACAGCUGUUGGAGCCUUUGCUCACCACUAAGUAGUGUUUCACCCUCCUGCAGGGGACGGCUGCUGGCUGCUGCCUUGUGUUUGUACAAGGGAAGGCUUGCAGGCUGCUUUGAGGCUCGGAGAGCCACUCGAACCAGACUGUGCAUGGAAGAAUGGAUGCCCAACGGUUGGAUUUGCCAACUCCAGAAGGAAGUGCCAGUUUCCAGGGAGGAAAUAAUUAUCUGAACACAUCCUCCUCAGAUCUGCCUCCCACUCCAGCAGCAGAGAGCAUCUGAAAGGAGCUGCCGGAGCAGCUGUUGUUCCAAGUGCAGCAUUCUCCAGUGGGUUUUCCUCCUGGAGCGAUCCUGAGCCCACGCUCAGAGUUAGGGCUGGAGGAAAGGUGCAUGAAUUGCCUGACUUGCACGGUGCUCUCGGCUGGCUCAGUGGAAGUGAUUCACUUGCUCGUGAGUGCGAAGUGUUCGUCGUCCCUCCUACCCACAGCAUGAUGUGGCUUCUACCCUUCCCCCUCUGUGCUCUUAUCUUCCGCUGCUUGGAGAGGCGGAGUGCUCAGCGGCUGUGAGGUUUGUGUGUCUGGAGGGGGUGGCAACUCGCCAGCCCACGGCAUGCUUCUUGUGCUGUGAAAUUGGAGCGGGUGAAUGCCAGCUACUUCAGUGGAAAAUGGGAGCAGUUCCUCUGCUGCCAAUGAGGGCUGCUGCCUGAAGGUACCACCGGGCUCCAAAGAGUGGAAGACUUUGCUUCUGGCUAUGUAUAACACACCUAUUCCUUUGACACACGUGAAUUGGUGUAUAUUACUGGGAAUUCCAGGAUGCUUAGCUGGGAAUGAACUCCUCUCUGUUUCACAACGUGACUCUGUGGUGUUUGUACUAGUUUAGAUUUGUUAAUUUUGUUUUGUCUGUUUGUUAUUUUCCACUGCUUCAGGCUGGGGAAUAGCAGCUGGCCGAGGCUUUGUACUGUCCAUGCCUUACCCUGGUUUUUAAGUUGUCUAAGUCUGAAUGAGCUGGGACUUAAGGGGCCUCAUAUGAAACCUCCAGGUGGCAGAUCUGAACCUAAGCAGGCCUCCUUCCACGUGCACUGCAGAGCAGUCGGAUGAAUCCGAGGAAGAAAUGUCCAUUGAGGACUAUUAAACACAAAAGCUUUCAUUACCGGGCCGCAGCCUGGGCACACGGCUAACGUGUUCCAUCCAGCAGGGCUUUGGGGACUGCUCCGAUCAGCUCAUCUGACUCCAUCAGCUGUCCAUCAGACGGCUGGGAAGUGCUCCCAGGGCUAACCUACACACGGUGUCAGCAACCCACCGCCUCUGCUCCCGUUGCUGCCUGCAUAAAGGUCACAGAUAACGAUUAAAAAUAAAUAAAUAAGCCAGGAGAACCCCCCAGCCUACCUCUGGGGUCACUCAGGUGCCUGGCUUGCGUAAGAGCUGUGGAAUGCACGUAUGGUGGCAGAACCUUAAUGUGUGAUGAGCAGCUCUUCUGUAUGUGCUUCCCCAAGCUGCCCUUGUGCUUGCUGGCCCUACUGGUUCCAGGUAACUCGCACAAAAGAGUUUGGGAGGAGACAGACGUGUCCUAAAGGACACCAGCGUGUGGCUUAUUGGUUCAGGGGGUGAGCUGAUUACAAAUUUCAGAUUCUGUCCGUAAGAUAAAUAAAUGAAGUGUCGUAAACACCUUUAUCUUCUGCUCGGGGCUGAAGCGAGCAGCCAAGUCAAACCGGUGUGCAUCCGAAAUGGCUUCUCCAGGCACUGUGCCAGCUUCCUGUCCCUCAGUCCAGGGAGGAAAUGAGCAGCAGCUGUCCUCCCUGCUGCAGCUUUGCUGCUUGCAAGCCAGGGAGGAGGAAAUCUGUGUACUGGGCUCCCCUUCCCUCCCUUUAUCACAAACACCAGAGUCUUGGUUUGAGUUCCUGCAGGAGCAAGGAUAUGGGCUGGCUGAAGAUACUUUGGUGCAGCUCUGACAUUUGGGCAAGCCAGCAGGAUUCUGCUAGAGAGGAUUUGUUCUCUUGCUUCCAGCUGAAAGCCGGACUAGAAGUGUCUGGUUGCCAUCUGAGUUAACUGUUGUUUAGUGUGUAAUGAGUGGAUGGUUCUUAGUCCAGUGGUGGAUGGACAAGUUUAGUCUGAGAGCUGCAGGCAGGGCUGGUCCCCAAGGAGUUGGCUGACACUGACUGUAAGCUGCCUGCAUCUUUAGAGGCAGUGUGUAAAUUGGAGGAAUAAUAAACGUGAGUGCCUGGAGGUGGCACAUGAGUGUACGAUGGAGGAGAUUUUACUUUUACACACUUACGCUUGGUGAUCUGAUGCCAUCUCUAAAAAACCUUUCCGAGUCUAAAUUCAGUUUUAGGUCAGUAUAUUUAUAUAUAUACACACGUAUUUGGGAAAGGACCUGCUAAGCUGCUGUUGCCACUUCUUGCUGAAUUAUACCAACAAGCUCCUUCUGGUGUUAGCUUUAAGUGACAUUUACUGUGUAAAUGACACUGACAUUCAAGAUGAGUUGUUGGCUUUUGCAGCAGCUUGCUAAUUCCUUGUAGGAUCUCCCAGGAGAAGAGCCUGCAGCAAAGAGCUGCUGCAACAGGUGCUGCUUUGGCCUCCUGUGCUCUGUAGGGAGGAGGGUGAGCGGGCAAAGCCUUGUUGUCACGUCAGCACUUUUUGCUUCCUUUCAUGUCUGUAGGAAACCUGGGGACACACUGAUUUACCUGUUGGGUUUCCAUGAUCGACAACAGUGAAUGCUGUUUGCAUGUGUAGUGAAGGAACCAGCAUGUGCUCGCCUUGUUUAGUGAAUGCCUUCCACUGGAGAUGGAGUGAAGGUCAGGUGGUGGCGGAUCGGUCAGUUGAGAGGUGGGGUAAUGGAAUGACACUACCACAGAUUGCUGUGCAGUGACAGAUGCUUUAAAAGAUCAGAGAUUUACAUUGGAGGAUACGUAGCUUUGCCAGAAGAAAUUGGGAUGUUUAAAAUUUAUUUUAUCUUUUAGCCAGAGGAGAAGCUUUAAUAGCUGUGAGAAGUGGUUUUGUUUUUCGUUUUGGCCUUUGGUUUGAAGGACAGGCUGGAGUCAGCUGCCUGAUUCACACUGACUUUGGGGGAGAUCUGCCUGCUGAGCUGCUCCUCGUGUAUUUCAGAAAUCUCUUCUUAGUCUGCAAAUCUGUCCGUAACCCCUUUUUAAUUAGCAUGUCUUUCUGGAAGAAGGGACCAAGAAAUCAUGUUCAAAGAUUAUUGCUCUAUCGAGCAGCUGCUAGAAUAGACCAGUUAAUGCUGCAGAACAAUGUUCCAGGCCCCAGCAGCAUGUCUGGGCUGCAUCUCCCAGCUAAUUUGGCUGAGGGCUUUAAACUUCCCCCAGACUGUAGUUCAAACCCAUUUCUGGCCAGUGAUGCUCUGUGCUAUGGCACCAGCUGGUCACUUUGCCAGAUAGCCUAGCUUUGGAUUUCUUGGCAGAGCAAAAUAUUUGAAAGGGAAAGAAAUGAGAGACUGGGGGAGCUACAGAAGAUGAAUGCCAAGAGCAUGUGUGAGCCAAGCAGGAGAUAAUGGUGCUGCCUUUACUGUCCCGGGCACUCCAUCUGCAGCUCGUGCUGCAGCCGUGCUCCUGCUGCUUGGGAUCAAGAGAGACACGUCAGUCUUGCAGGCAGGGUUUGAAUCUGGAUCUUGAAGUUGUUUGGAGAAAAUCAAAGUCUAUUUUAAUGGCAAGCUGUGCUUCUCUAGUGCAAUUCAGGGUGUGGAUGACAAGAGGUUUUGAAGUGUUUCUGCAGCUAUAAUAAUAAAUACAGUUUAGCAUUGGUAUGUGGUCUUAAAGGAGGGGAGAAGAGAGAAAAGCAAGGACCAGUCUUAGAGGUGGAGGAAGGGGUUCAGCAGCUGCAGUUUCUCCUGAUUUUUUCCUGGCUCCUGCAGUUAAUGUGAUGCUGAUGUGGUGACACAGGAGCUGUUACCGUGACCCCAUUCACUGCAUCAUUGGUGACCGAGAGCCAAGCAGUCGGGUUUUUGCUUGAGCUAAUUCAGAGCUGGUGUGGAUGUGUGUGGUGUGGCCUUCAGGCUUUUCUCACACCUGUUGAGCUCUGCAGUCAAGUGUGAAAUCUGCCUGAAAGUCAUUCCAACGUUCAAAUAUGCACCAGAAUUUUGUAACACUUCAUCUCAGCUUUUGACUGCCGAAGGUCUCAGGCCCAUUUCCCAACUUGCCAGCAAGGAUAUUAUAGCUGCAGAAAGCCAGAUUCUGCAGUGACAAACCCUGCAAGCAAGGCUCUGGUAGUUGUGGUGGUGUUUGUCACUAAAUGUGGUAGGAGCCUGAGGGCAGGGUCAGCCUGCAGCCAUCCUGUUUGGAGAGCAUUCCGACAUCCUUGAAUGGCAGCACAGUAAAACUGGAGCUGUAGGUCAUGAAAAAAUUGCAACAUUUUUUUCCUUCUGUAAUAACAGUGGAGACUGAGCACUGCCAGCCACCCCCAAAAAAGGGACCCUUCAGGCUGAGCUGGCUACUGUCAGGCGGCUGGGGGGCGGGGGGGAUAAACUCUGCUUGCUCUCAGCAAGUCCUUGAAAACAUCACCACAUCCAAAGCAUGUGAGCUAGGAAAAACAACUGCCUUCUCUACUCCUUCUCUGCCUGAUGAGGUUAAUAAUAACUUUGAAUGCAUAUGUACAGCAUUAGCUUUCAUGGUAACAUGCAUAAUUCAAAUCCCCCAAAGAACAGUAGAGCUUUGAGGAAGCAAACUUCCUUAAUGUACUGGGCAAGGAUCCAGCUUUUACCAGCUGUUGAGGGUUGAUGUACAAUUUUUGGUUAAGUGAAUAAUUUAUCAUGGAUAUUAUCUGCGGUGUAUCACAUCCCUACAGCUUGUCGGUCUGUACAUAUGGCUCUCGAGAUGCCACAACACUGCCAUAUGCUUCAUGGCCCAUUACCACUUCAAACUCCCCUAAGAUGUUUUUCCCCUGUGUUAAGCGUGUUAAGAGUGCAGUGGGACCACUGGCUUGGUGCAAGAGCUGCUGGCUGGGUUCUUUCCCUAUUAAAAAAAAAAAAAAAAAAAGGAAAAAAAAAAAAAGGAAAGAUGAUUUGCUGUCCUUUGAAAUAAGCUAUCUGUGCUUCACGAUGCAGACGUGGAUUAUAAAUCCUGCAGAACACCUGCCCUGCUCUCAUCCCCAGCUACCGCUGGUACGGUGUCUUUGUGUGGUUACAAAUCCAGUUGCUGUAACCACGGCCUGCUGUCUAUGAAUCAAGGCUGCUUUAAUCAAAGGAGACUGCUCUGCCCCAAAGCAGGGCUGCAGCUCCCUCACAGCUGCUGUAGGGCUACGUCCCAAAUUCCUCCUGCAGAUAUCCUAAUUCUUGGGCAAGGAUCUUUGGAACUGAGAUCUUUGGACCCUCUUAGUUAAGGUGUAAAGCAUCCAAAUGCUCUUCCUUAAAACCUUUGUCUGUGGAGAGAAAGAAUGCUGAAGCUGAAGAACUUUCCGGCUUGUGUGGCAGCUACUGUGCAAAAGAGGGCAAAAACAUCUGGGUGGUUUGUCAAGUUGAUUGCUUGUAUAGAGAGCAGCUUCGUGUAAUAAAAACGGCUGAGUCAAGAAUGAAAGCAAGCAGCUGCUUGGCAGUAAUUAUAGCUGUGUGUCCCUCAUAAGGACCUGUGAUGGUUCUUCAGAUACAGAACACGCUGUUCAUAAGCUCAGUGCUGUCAUUUCCAAGAGAAAUAUCUUCAGCUGCAUGUUGAGGUGUUGCUGGGGUGUUGGUCAGUGGCUGCCAGGCUGAUGGCUGCAGCUUGCAGUGGAACAAUCCCUGCGUGAGUGUGGUUUUUCAGUUUAGAAGAGAGAAAAGGUGCUUAUAGAAUAGGAACAGUCCCUGAUGUUGGAGAAAUUAUUUCCAGUUCGAUGUCACGUAUGCUUCUCC
ensembl:lncRNA